rnacentral:lncRNA from 1 species
UUGUACUUGACCUGGCAGCUGCUGACUCCGUCCUACCCCGGUUACACAGGGUUAGAGGAAUGUUAAUUACCCGAGGAUGCUGUGUCAUCCGCACAGUAUCCGGGAGAAAAUAACAAGGACAACUCCCUUCAUCUGAGAAAUACAGACAUUUAGCGAUAUAAGUGCCACGCUCAAAGGUACUGGUGUUGUGUGGGCACAUAUUUGGGCAGGAAUGUAGAUCCUCUUAUCCUACUACUAUAUGGGCAUCUGAUACAUAGAUGCACCCAGCCAGAGAGUGCUAACCCUGUGCCCUACUGCAGGAGGGGUCUCAGCAAGCAUCUGUUCUUGUCGCAGGUAUUAAAAUCCAGUUCCCUGCGUGCAUGCUCCAGUUUAAGUGGAUGGCUGAUUCUAUCCCGUCAUCCUGAACUUUGUAGCUUCCUUUAAGAGAUGAUAAAUUAGGGAACAAAAGGAUCUUCCUUUCCGUGACAGCAGCACUUUCGGGAGGCUGAGCAUGUACCUCUGACUCAAGGCUGAGUUAUUAUAAGAAAAACAGAAAAGGAAGGAAGAAGGUUUUAAUUUCCCACUGUUGAAGACAGUUUGUCAGGAUGAGAGACAGACAGACAGAGCGUGCACAGACCUGCACUUCUCUUCGGGGAUGAAUAGGGCAAGUGUUUCAUUCAUGACGUCUUCAAAGCGUUGCCCGGAAUGCAAAAUGACAUGGUUUUUCUGGAAUACUAGUCUGUUUGAAAGGCCAAGGAAAGGUGAUACAUUUUGAAUGCACAUUUGGGUGACUUCAGGGUCUCCUUCUAUAACCAGAAUGGAGAUGUCCCUGAAAGGCUGUCAACAGAGAAAAAAAGAAUUCUGGUUAAAAUUCCAUUAUUCCAGUUUUUUUUUUGUUGUUGUUGUUUUUUUUUUUUGCCUGCGUUGUGUAAUUGAAGAUGUCUUCCAAGCAGAAACAGACCCUUGUUUCAUGUGGAAAAAAAAAUACAUAGACUAAUAGACUACAGAGAAAUAGAGGUAAAAAGAAGAUUGCUGCCACUUCCCAGUUAAGGAAUGCGUUGCUUUCACCCACCGUGGUCCCUGCUGCCUGUGACUCCAACACAAGAAUCAAUCCAUCUGUCUUUCUGCCACCACAGACAUCUCCCUAAAUUGAUCUAAUCUUGUGUCUAUUCUUAAAAUUCUUCGGAUUGCUUCUUGUUAAUAGAUAAUUGAAGUUCAGUAGUACAGUCUUUCCAUCUCCCUUUCCUUCCUGAUUGUCAAAUCACUUUGACCCAAUAAAUCUCACUUAAUUUUUUAAUUGUAUGGGAAUUUAAAAAUGGCACAUGUUUUAUCAUAUGCCUGGGCUGCUCUACCCAACUUUUCAAAGUUCUUUCCAUCCUUCAAAGUCUAGCUCAGCACCUACAUCUUCAAACGGUAAAACUUCUCUAAUUUUUUUGCAUGAAAUAAAUGUGCCUAUCCAAUCAGGAUGAGCCACUCAGAUGUGUGACUGAUGUCACACAGGGCUUCAAGCUCAGAAGAGCCCACCGGAUGAAUGGUUUAUUUCUCUGCUGUUGUCAUCUUGAAAUUUGAAGAAGGGGCCCAGCAUUUUCAUUUUGCACUGGACUCACAAACGAUAUAGCCAGUCCUGCCUCCAGUACUCCUAAAGUUAACAAUUUCAUAUCUCUGCUCCAAUAAUUCUCAUCCACAUUGUUGUUUUGAAGUUACCUUUGUAACUCCCACUAGAUUGGGAGCUCUAGGAAGCCACAGAUCUUAUUUGUUGAGUUUCUACAAGUGUGGGGAAGAGUAGUGUGCACAGAUUAAAGCUGCCAAUGGGAAGGUAAGAAUACUAUCAGAGUUCAUCAGAACAGAACUGAAAACAGCCAACAUCUCCUGAGAAUAGCAGUGCUAUGUUCUGAGUGUUUGUGUCCCCCCAAAAUUCAUGUGCUGAAAUCUAAUUCCCAACAUGUUGGUAUUAAGAGGUGGGGAAUUUGAGAGGUGAGUAGGUCAUGAGGGUGGAGCCCUCAUGGGUAGGAUUAGUGUUCUUAUGAAAGAGGCCUGACAGAGCAUAUGCCCUUUUACCACAUAGAAGGUGCCAUCUAUGAAGAACUAGCUCUCAGUAGACACCAAAUCUUCUGGCACCUUGAUCUUGGACUUCCCAGCCUCCAGAACUGUGAGCAAUAAGUUUCUGUUGUAUAUAAAUUACCCAGUCAAAGGUAUUUUGUUACAGCCGCCAGAAUGCAUUAAGACAAAUAGUAAAAAGAACAAAGAAGUUUUGCACACGUAGUAUGCACCAAGCACUGUGCUUUGCACUGCGCGAGAAAAUCCAACCUGGUUCUCACAACAUGAAGCAUAGGUACUAUAUUAUGGCUUCAGUUUCCAGAGGAAGAAACUAAGGCUUAGAGAGGGAAGGUGUCACACACUAAGCAGCAGUAGCAGGAGUCGCUGUCAGUUCUGGCUCCUAGGAAAUCAAUGAGUCUGUAUUCAUAAAUCAUAGAAAAUUGUGACAUUUUCAUGCAAUAAAAAACCUAAGAAUGUUCUUUAUAUAUAUACAUAUAUUUUUAUUAUACUUCGAGUUCUAGGGUACAUGUGCGCAACGUGCAGGUUUGUUACAUAUGUGUACAUAACAUUAGGUAUAUCUCCUAAUGCUAUCCCUUCCCCCUCCCCCCACCCCACAAC